rnacentral:rRNA from 1 species
UUAAGUGAAUAAGGGCGCACGGUGGAUGCCUUGGCACUAGGAGCCGAUGAAGGACGGGACUAACACCGAUAUGCUUUGGGGAGCUGUACGUAAGCUAUGAUCCAGAGAUUUCCGAAUGGGGGAACCCAACAUCUUUAAUAGGAUGUUACGAUUGUGUGAAUACAUAGCACAUUCGAGGUAGACGCAGAGAACUGAAACAUCUAAGUACCUGCAGGAAGAGAAAGAAAAUUCGAUUCCCUGAGUAGCGGCGAGCGAAACGGGAAAAGCCCAAACCAGCAAGCUUGCUUGUUGGGGUUGUAGGACUCCAAUAUGGUAGUUCUUUCAGAUAGUCGAAUGACUUGGAAAAGUCAGUCAAAGAGGGUAAAAACCCCGUAGACGAAAUGUGGAAAACACCUAGGAGGAUCCUGAGUACGGCGGAACACGAGAAAUUCCGUCGGAAUCCGGGAGGACCAUCUCCCAAGGCUAAAUACUCCCUAGUGACCGAUAGUGAACCAGUACCGUGAGGGAAAGGUGAAAAGCACCCCGGAAGGGGAGUGAAAUAGAACCUGAAACCGUGUGCCUACAACAAGUCAAAGCCCGUUAAUGGGUGAUGGCGUGCCUUUUGUAGAAUGAACCGGCGAGUUACGAUUGCAUGCGAGGUUAAGUUGAAGAGACGGAGCCGCAGCGAAAGCGAGUCUGAAUAGGGCGUUUGAGUAUGUAGUCGUAGACCCGAAACCAUGUGAUCUACCCAUGUCCAGGUUGAAGGUGCGGUAAAACGCACUGGAGGACCGAACCCACGUACGUUGAAAAGUGCGGGGAUGAGGUGUGGGUAGCGGAGAAAUUCCAAACGAACUUGGAGAUAGCUGGUUCUCUCCGAAAUAGCUUUAGGGCUAGCCUCGGAAUUGAGAAUGAUGGAGGUAGAGCACUGUUUGGACUAGGGGCCCAUCUCGGGUUACCGAAUUCAGAUAAACUCCGAAUGCCAUUCAUUCAUAUCCGGGAGUCAGACUGUGAGUGAUAAGAUCCAUAGUCGAAAGGGAAACAGCCCAGACCACCAGCUAAGGUCCCAAAAUAUAUGUUAAGUGGAAAAGGAUGUGGGGUUGCACAGACAACUAGGAUGUUGGCUUAGAAGCAGCCACCAUUUAAAGAGUGCGUAAUAGCUCACUAGUCGAGUGACCCUGCGCCGAAAAUGUACCGGGGCUAAACAUAUUACCGAAGCUGUGGAGUACACCUUUAGGUGUAUUGGUAGGAGAGCGUUCUAAGGGCGUUGAAGGCAGAUCGUGAGGACUGCUGGAGCGCUUAGAAGUGAGAAUGCCGGUAUGAGUAGCGAAAGACAGGUGAGAAUCCUGUCCACCGAAUGACUAAGGUUUCCUGGGGAAGGCUCGUCCGCCCAGGGUUAGUCGGGACCUAAGCCGAGGCCGACAGGCGUAGGCGAUGGAUAACAGGUUGAUAUUCCUGUACCCGUUGUUUUUGUUUGAGCAAUGGAGGGACGCAGGAGGCUAAGGAAUGCAGACGAUCGGAAAUGUCUGUCCAAGCAGUAAGUCUGAAGAGGAGUCAAAUGCUUCUUUUCUUAAGGACAAGCUGUGAUGGGGAGGGAAAUAAUAGUACCGAAGUUCCUGAUGUCACACUGCCGAGAAAAGCUUCUAGUGAGAAAACAGCGGCCCGUACCGCAAACCGACACAGGUAGUCGAGGAGAGAAUCCUAAGGUGAGCGAGAGAACUCUCGUUAAGGAACUCGGCAAAAUGACCCCGUAACUUCGGGAGAAGGGGUGCUGAUCAUACGAUCAGCCGCAGUGAAUAGGCCCAAGCGACUGUUUAUCAAAAACACAGGUCUCUGCAAAAUCAUAAGAUGAAGUAUAGGGGCUGACGCCUGCCCGGUGCUGGAAGGUUAAGAGGAGUGCUUAGCGCAAGCGAAGGUACGAAUUGAAGCCCCAGUAAACGGCGGCCGUAACUAUAACGGUCCUAAGGUAGCGAAAUUCCUUGUCGGGUAAGUUCCGACCCGCACGAAAGGCGUAACGAUUUGGGCACUGUCUCAACGAGAGACUCGGUGAAAUUUUAGUACCUGUGAAGAUGCAGGUUACCCGCGACAGGACGGAAAGACCCCAUGGAGCUUUACUGUAGUUUGAUAUUGAGUGUCUGUACCGCAUGUACAGGAUAGGUAGGAGCCGUAGAAAUCGGAACGCUAGUUUCGAUGGAGGCGCUGGUGGGAUACUACCCCUGCGUUAUGGCCACUCUAACCCGCACCACUAAUCGUGGUGGGAGACAGUGUCAGAUGGGCAGUUUGACUGGGGCGGUCGCCUCCUAAAAGGUAACGGAGGCGCCCAAAGGUUCCCUCAGAAUGGUUGGAAAUCAUUCGAAGAGUGUAAAGGCAGAAGGGAGCUUGACUGCGAGACCAACAAGUCGAGCAGGGACGAAAGUCGGGCUUAGUGAUCCGGUGGUUCCGCAUGG